GCCUCGAGGUCGAGAGGCUCGGACUCAGUGCUGUCAUCAUGGGAAGCAGGGGAUUCGGCGCCGUUCAUCGCGGCAACGAUGAAGGUCGGCUCGGCAGCGUCAGCGAUUACUGCGUCCACCACUGCAUCUGUCCCGUCGUCAUCGUCUGCUAUCCCAAAAGAUAAGGAUGCCGUCGCUGAAGCUGUCCUCACCGUCAAGGAAGGGGAGGAGGACGAUGAGGCUGUGAUCAAGACUGUCCCCAUUGAAGGUGUCCAUGAGAAAGGUUGGAUAUAGGCACAUUGAUUGUGCUUAAGUUACGACAAUGAGAAGGAGGUGUACUGAUCACAUGCCAGAAGAUGUACCAAAGGCAUUAGAUAAAACCUUGCAGGAGUUGCAACUUGACUAUGUGGAUCUGUAUCUAAUCCACUGCCCAGUUAGCAUGGGCAGCGACUGUAUCGGAAGCGACUGUAUCGGAGGCUAUCGGCUCUGGGAGCCAGCGGAGGGAGCGUGGCAGAGACAUUAAAUGGUUACGUCCACAACGGCAAUUCCGUCCAUAAAGCAACUCUUGAAAAGUGCAUUAAGGAGCUCCGCAAGUACGGCAGGUUUCAACAUGCCCUCCAGAUUAAUGUGACAAUAUAUGAUUGGGAUAUAAUUGGGAAAAGCGCUGUUCUCGGUUCGGUGACCGUUCAAGUUGAAAGUGAAGGUCAAACUGGUGCAGUAUGGCAUACAUUGGAUAGCACGCCAGGGCAGGUUUGUCUAGACAUUAGAACAAUAAAACUGUCCGCAAAUUCUCUCAGGUAGCUUUUUGUUGUACUUUUUUUAAAAAUGUUUUGCGUUUAAUUAUAUUGGUUGACUCAUCAAUCUCUCCUUCUCUCUCUCUAAAUAUAGGCACACAUAUGUAAUCCCAAAUUGAACUGUUUUUGGGGUACAUGGCUUUGUACUUGUGCAGAGAAUGUACCCUCAUUUUGGAAAUUUUAUGUGUUUUGUAUCCUGGAAAUUGUUAUAGAACAUUUUUAUAUUGUUUGUACUUUAA